UGGGGGCAUUCAAAAUGAAGUCACUCUGGGUUUUUCUCUGACCUCCUCAAAUUGUUUCUGGAGAAGGCAGCCUCCAUCUCCACCCUGUGGUACAGCUGAAUGGGGGUCAGAUGUCUCCAGCUGUAAAGACAGGUAAAGGCUAAGGAGGCAGCGGCAAAUCUCCCCCAGAGGUAAACAGAGAAAGGUUGGAACGUUGAGUGCUGGGGUCCUUUCCACUUGCUGCUGCUUGAAAAGACACAUAUCUUGAUAAGAUGAAAAAUUUUACCCAUGUACCAACAGCUGGACUGUAGACCAUUA